UACGAAGGGGGCUAGCGUUGUUCGGAAUUACUGGGCGUAAAGCGCGUGUAAGCGGGCUUUUAAGUCAGGGGUGAAAUGCCAAGGCUCAACCUUGGAACUGCCUUUGAUACUGGAAGUCUUGAGUCCGGGAGAGGUGAGUGGAACUGCGAGUGUAGAGGUGAAAUUCGUAGAUAUUCGCAAGAACACCAGUGGCGAAGGCGGCUCACUGGCCCGGAACUGACGCUGAGACGCGAAAGCGUGGGGAGCAAACAGG
rnacentral:rRNA from 1 species